rnacentral:lncRNA from 1 species
UUCCUGCCAUUGAACGCACAACAAAUACAUGACUCCAACCACAUGACUUUGCUCAGCCAAUCGGAUGGCAUGUAGGUCAUAGUAAGACUGUCCCGGCUUCCUCCCGUCAGAUGCGUGGAGGUAAGCCAGGUGACAGAGCUGUUGCAGACGCUGAUUACUGUGAGCCAGAGCCAUAGUGUUGUUUUGCACUGAACAGAAUGGAAUUGGCCAGGUGAACCUUUUUUGGGUAUUAAAAAGGAUGGCAAGCCAAUGAACGGCAGGACUCAGUCUGCACUGAAGCUAUCAUAGACAACGCUCUGUCCCCAUUUUCCAAACACACUGAUUUCCACAACCAUACACACCAUUCCCCCCGUUUAUGGACAAUAGCGCUUGGACAUCUCUCAUGGACAUUCAGAUUAACUCAUGGACUUCAGUGUGGAUUAGUGGUUUGGAUGUUAACAUGUGUUAUUUAUGGGGAACUGUUUUUUUUUUAUUUGUUUGUUUUGUUUUGUCACAAUUAAUGAAAAUGCGGUGCCGCGGUCGCGCACUCUAAAACGCCGGUAAGCUAAUGCUAGGCUAGUGACUGAAAGUGCAAUUACUAGUUUUAUUUAUCGAAUAUUGUUGUUUUUGUUUAUUUCACUAUGGCCGAAUGUUGGAUUAACGUAUAAAGAGUUGAACGAGUGUUUUGAAGUUUGUAGUUUUGUCCGUUUUGGAUGUUUUUUGUUACUUUUCUGAUUAAAUGCCAAAACGGCCUAUGAGACUUUUGCAUUGAGUUAGAAUCCAUUUAGAUUGAUUGGAUAUGUUGCGCAACACCUGUGAUUAGAUGAGUUUUGUAAAUAUGUUUGAUUAACUUUGGAUAAUGUUUAUUAGCUUUAUUGCUGAUAUACUUUGAUGGGACCCAUGUGAAUGUUUUUUCUAAAUUGGUAUUUUGAAUGAUAUUCAUUAUAAGAGAUGACGACUAUUGGUUUAUUGAUUGUUGUAUAAAACAUGGCAUUAAUUAUUUGACUUUAUUUAUGGAUUUAUUUAUUUAUUUUGUCAGAGCAGUAGAAUGCUGUUUCAUUUUCUUCUGUGAAUGAUGAUUUAUGUUUUUGACCUUGUUUAGGUCAGGGUUUUUUUCCCCCGCGAUCAGCCCUGAUCAGCGCGGGAUGGCGAGCCACCCGACCACCGCUACGUUGCGGUAGGAAUCGUAAACCUAUGGACUGAACUAAACUAUUGACACAUGACCUAUCACAGGUCCAUGGAACUACACUAAAUUUCAUACUGGACUAAACCUCAUCCCACCUCCUUUUGGAACUUAAUAAGCUGUUUUGUAUUGUCACCAUCAUUAUUGUUUGUGAUAUAUAUGCAUAUUUUUUUUUUUUUUGUACAUCUGUCUAUAUAAUUCUCAUAACAAACAUAAUAUAUAUAUUUUUGAGCUCUAUUUUUGUUUCCUGUGUUUUAUUCACACACUCAGGCUCCAUA